CUACGUUGCAAUAGUCACAAUAGUUUGAGUUAGUGUUUACACAAAGCGUCUUUAAAAUAAUCCAAAAAAAUAAUUAUUCAAAUCAUGAAUGGCACAGAAGCAUGUACAUCGUGAAACGGUAUUGACUCCGAGGAGAUUGUUAUUUCUGGUAUUGCUGGCAGAUUUUGCUAAUUCAGAUAACGCGAAUAAGUUACGAGAAAAUUUGUUUAAUAAAAUUGAUCUUGUUAGAUUGCUCUAACAAGAUCAAUUUUAUUAAACAAGUUUUCUUGUAACUUAUUCAUGAUCUGCAUCAUGAGCGAUGGAAACUAGAUGGAAUAUGCCACUUUUUCUACACUAGUUUGCUUAAAUUAAAGAUUUCCAUUCAGAUUAAUAAUUGUGUGUCUACACGUCGUCGUUGAAAGACAUUGCUCCUACAUUUACUAGUUAUUGCGAAAAAUAUCGCAUGUCUUGGUAGUAGAACAGUAAGACAUACCCUGAUAGCAAGGUGGUCCAAGUUCAAAUACUAAUUGAGAUUUUAAUGGAGCUGAAGAAAUGUAAUAUUUGGGAAGAGAGAUAUAAUAUUUUUGCCAAACAAGUCUUGACCAUGAACAAUUUAUAAAAAUUCAUCUGCUAUGGAGCAAUAUGAUUCUACUUUACUGUCUAUCAAAUCUCCUAUAAUAUUGUUAAAACCUACGAACCCGUUACCUGUAUACCCAUAACCGAGGACGAUUAUGGUUUGCAGAAGAUAACUCAAACCUAUUUAAUUCCUUAUCCAUACUACAAGCGCACGUGUAUCCUUUAUCCUGAUUCAACAUGCACAGUUGAGAACACGGAUUGGAAUGACAUGGAUUGUUAAUCUGAAAUUCGAUUUACAUUUAUUUAAAUACAAUAAUAAUACACACUUUUUGUAAUGUAUUUUUUGUUAACGAAAAAGUAACAUUACAAUACGAUGCAUACUUUGGGCUUUAUCGCCGAGUGAUCGAUGUGUACGCUAUAAGGUGAUGUUCUUUGUUAGUUCGAUAUAAGGUUUGCCAAUUCUUUUCAGUUUAUUGCA